GUUUACAAAAACAAUUUCUGAAAUUUUUUGACACCACAUACCAUCAGAUUUCUCAUCCAAUGGUUUUGUUUAUGACCUAUUUGUCCCACAUAUAAAUGGACAUGUAAUAUAUGAUCCCUAAGGUUUCUAAUUUUAUAUGGAAGGGUUUAAAUGCAACACAAAUUAUCAUUCUACUAAUAAGUGCUUUCAAUUUAGCCAUAAAGUACAUUUCCUUUGGAGAGAGAAGAUGCACUUUACUUUAAUAUUAGCCACUAAUUACAUUUCCUUUGGAGAGAAGAGACAUGGUACUUAUACCUUAAUAAGAUCUAUGGUAAAACACCCAUUGUCCCAGACAGGAAAUGCAGGGCAAAUUUGUGAACAAGUCAACCAUCAUAAAAAUGUUGGCAAAUGCGUGAGGAAGCCAUCAUCUUCUUACAGGCUCGCAGAAGCUUGGUCCCGGAGACACAGAUGCAAAAUUUGCAUAUGAAGAGAGAUAUAUUUAAAUAGAAAAUUAUCUAACACCACAUGGAAGGGGAUUAGCUCCUUCAAGAUGCGUAGAGAGAGAGAGAAGUGAAUAUCUUAGGGCGCACUCGCCUUGGUGGUCGCAACCGCCUCGGUGAUAUUGAAAUCCGCCUUGGUGGUCGCACUCACCUCGGUGAUAUUGAAAUCAGGGAAAAUAGGUAAAUGAGGUGAUACUUCCUCUGGUGAGGUAAAGCAACUCCACAUGCAAUGAAUGGUGGAUCCGCCUUUAGAUAAACAUUUCUCAUAGCACAUUCUCAGUGCCGGUCCUUCUAAAGCCUUUGCACCAUAAGCAAGAACCACCACCAGCACCACCAACACCAGUGUGACCGAUANNN
rnacentral:lncRNA from 1 species